rfam:Gossypium hirsutum cultivar TM-1 chromosome 5, whole genome shotgun sequence
UUUUAAAAAAUUUAAUCUAUUUGUACUUUUAAAAAUUAGCAUGGCUAAAGGAAUUACCAAGUAAUGACAUAUGACGUGCCACAUGUAUUUUAUGCUAACGUACAUGGACCAAUUUUUAAUAAUAUAAAUAGAUAAAUUUUUUAACA